rnacentral:rRNA from 1 species
UGGGGAAUAUUGGACAAUGGGCGCAAGCCUGAUCCAGCCAUGCCGCGUGAGUGAUGAAGGCCCUAGGGUUGUAAAGCUCUUUCACCGGUGACGAUAAUGACGGUAACCGGAGAAGAAGCCCCGGCUAACUUCGUGCCAGCAGCCGCGGUAAUACGAAGGGGGCUAGCGUUGUUCGGAUUUACUGGGCGUAAAGCGCACGUAGGCGGACUAUUAAGUCAGGGGUGAAAUCCCGGGGCUCAACCCCGGAACUGCCUUUGAUACUGGUAGUCUUGAGUUCGAGAGAGGUGGGUGGAAUUCCGAGUGUAGAGGUGAAAUUCGUAGAUAUUCGGAGGAACACCAGUGGCGAAGGCGGCUCACUGGCUCGAUACUGACGCUGAGGUGCGAAAGCGUGGGGAGCAAACAGG